CGAACGGGUGAGUAACGCGUGGGCAACCAACCUUACACUGGGGGAUAACACAGAGAAAUUUGUGCUAAUACCGCAUAAGCGCACAGUACCGCAUGGUACAGUGUGAAAAACUCCGGUGGUGUAAGACGGGCCCGCGUCUGAUUAGUUAGUUGGUGAGGUAAAAGCUUACCAAGGCGACGAUCAGUAGCCGACCUGAGAGGGUGAUCGGCCACAUUGGGACUGAGACACGGCCCAAACUCC
rnacentral:rRNA from 1 species